rnacentral:rRNA from 1 species
AAGGAGUGCAACACGCCCGCGAGUCUUUGGGUGGCAAACCCGCCGGCGAAAUGAAAGUGAAGGCGCCCUCGGGGUGCCGAGGCGAGAGCCGCGAGAAAGGCGGUGCAUCGUCGACCGAUCCUAUCCACGCCGUGGGGGGAUUCGAGUUAGAGCGUGCCUGUUGCGACCCGAAAGAUGGUGAACUAUGCCUGAAUAGGGUGAAGCCAGAGGAAACUCUGGUGGAAGCUCGUAGCGAUUCUGACGUGCAAAUCGAUCGUCAAAUUUGGGUAUAGGGGCGAAAGACUAAUCGAACCAUCUAGUAGCUGGUUCCCUCCGAAGUUUCCCUCAGGAUAGCUGGAACCCGGAGCAGUUUUAUCAGGUAAAGCGAAUGAUUAGAGGUCUUGGGGUUGAAACAACCUCAACCUAUUCUCAAACUUUAAAUGGGUAAGAAGCCUGGCUUGCUCGAUUGAAGUCAGGCAUGGAAUGCCGGGGUUCCUAGUGGGCCAUUUUUGGUAAGCAGAACUGGCGAUGCGGGAUGAACCGAACGCCGGGUUAAGGUGCCCGAAUCGGCGCUCAUCAGACACCAUGAAAGGUGUUGGUUGAUCUAGACAGCAGGACGGUGGCCAUGGAAGUCGGAAUCCGCUAAGGAGUGUGUAACAACUCACCUGCCGAAUCAACUAGCCCUGAAAAUGGAUGGCGCUCAAGCGCCGUACCCAUACCCGGCCGUCGGGGCGAGAGGCCUGUCCCGACGAGUAGGAGGGCGCGGUGGUGGCCGUGCAUCCCGAGGCGCGAGCCUGGGCGAAGCCGCCUCCGGUGCAGAUCUUGGUGGUAGUAGCAAAUAUUCAAACGAGAGCUUUGAAGACUGAAGUGGAGAAAGGUUCCAUGUGAACAGCAGUUGGACAUGGGUUAGUCGAUCCUAAGAGAUGGGGAAGCUCCCUAGCAAGGGUGCACUCACUUCUGUGACCGCACCGUCCAUCGAAAGGGAAUCGGGUUAACAUUCCCGAACCGGGACGAGGAUAAGGCCUCGCGCCUACGGCGGCAACGCAAGCGAACUCGGAGACGCCGGCGGGAGCUCCGGGAAGGGUUCUCUUUCCUUCUUAACGGACCGUCACCCUGGAAUCAGAUUGGCUGGAGAUAGGGUCGAAUGUCCGGUAAAGCGCCGCACCUCUGGCGGUGUCCGGUGCGCUCUCGACGGCCCCUGAAAAUCCGAGGGAGCGAAUGAUUCUCUCGCCCGGUCGUACUCAUAACCGCAGCAGGUCUCCA